GGGGAGAGCCCCUUUGAAUGCAGUGAGUGUGGGAAAACCUUCAGUUGCAGCUGGAACCUUAUUAGGCAUCAGAAAAUCCACACAAGUGAGAGAACCUAUGAAAGCAGUGAGUGUGGGAAAACCUUAGGGCCCAAAGAAAUUUUGUCCAACUCCACUUCCUAGUUCAGUGUGUCUCAUUACCGUUCCAGAGGAUACCAGGGUUAGAUUGAGAACAACCAUCCUUCACCGUUUGGAUGCAAAGAGAGAGUGCUUCAUAGGACAGUCCUUCCCUGUGGAUCCCAAACUGGCUGCCUGGUUGGGUAACAAGGACUUUCAGGCUGUAGAAAUGAUGGUAACCAAUGAGGCAAUGAAUGUGUCAAGCUCCAAUUUCAGACUUCUGGAUACUCGCAUGCUGAGUCCUGAUUCCAAGGUUUUGUGUCUGACGCUCUGGCUACACAAUAAAGCUGAUGUUGGUGCAGCUGUAGCACUGCUAUUACAGAUGCUCUCCACCAAUGGGAGAAAUCUCUUCCCUAGGACUUUAUUAGUCCAGCCCCCACAAGUGGUGGUGGCUAUGUCGGCAGGCAAAGCUCUCCUGCUGAUGUAGUGUUAUUUCACAGGGGAGGAGGGUUUUGUAACUACAUUUCUCACCAGUGUGUAUUUUUCAUACCUCUGAGAAAUAGAGUUACACCAAUAAAUGUCUUUAGUGUAGACUAGACCUUAGUUUUCUCUUGUUUUAUGUAUUUACAUCACUUCUCUUUGAAAGAUUAAAAAGUGUGACAAGAGAGUUAUUUUCCCCCAUGAUGCAAACAUUCCUAUAUAAGAAACCCCUUCCACCAACACACAUGGCAAAAGAGCCAGGGAUAUAUGAACUCACAUGUAGUGUAAGGAGUUCUGGUAGAAAACCUCCCUCCAAAGGCUGAGAUGGGAGAAUGUGUGUGAGAAAGAGUGUAUGAGAAUAUUGGCCCAGUAUAGAUUUAAAUUUUUUGUAUUUCAGAUAAACUUUGAAGCUAAGCAAAAUACGUUCUAUUUCUAUUAAAAGGAAAACUACUCGAGGAGACAAGUUGUAUAACUUUUUACCCACUUAGCCUGUAAGGGUCACUGAGUUCCCCACGUCUCUAAUUUGCAAAGGAAAGGCCUGACAUCUGUCAUAGGAUGUGUCUAACAGGGCUCUUUAAUCCGGUUUCUGUACUCCACCUCAGCAAGUGGAGUAGUGCUAAAAUCGAGAUUGCAGUUCCGAAUUAGAGGUACUGUGGACACAAUUUGACAUUAUUGGCAUCCGGGAGCUAUCCCAGAAUGCUUCCUUGUGACCACUCUGGACAACACUCUCAACUCCGAUGUACUUGCCAGGAGUUGCAGGGAGAAUGACUUUUUGGAGGAUGAAGAGGAGAAGGAGGAGGACAGUGCACAAGCGACAAGUGGGGAAUCCGUUUUCCCCUAUCAAGGUUCCCUCCCCACUCUGAACUUUAGGGUAC